rnacentral:rRNA from 1 species
CCUACGGGAGGCAGCAGUGGGGAAUAUUGCACAAUGGGGGAAACCCUGAUGCAGCGACGCCGCGUGAGUGAAGAAGGAUCUCGGUAUGUAAAGCUCUAUCAGCAGGGAAGAAAAUGACGGUACCUGACUAAGAAGCCCCGGCUAACUACGUGCCAGCAGCCGCGGUAAUACGUAGGGGGCAAGCGUGAUCCGGAUUUAUUGGGUUUAAAGGGUGCGUAGGCGGAAGGUUAAGUCAGCGGUAAAAGCCCGGGGUUCAACCCCGGCGAGCCGUUGAAACUGGCUGUCUUGAGUUGUCGAGAGGUAUGCGGAAUGCGGAGUGUAGCGGUGAAAUGCGUAGAUAUUGCGAAGAACACCGAUUGCGAAGGCAGCAUACCGGAGGGGAUCUGACGCUGAGGCGCGAAAGCGUGGGUAGCGAACAGGAUUAGAUACCCGUGUAGUC